rnacentral:tRNA from 2 species
AGGGGUGUAGCUCAAUUGGCAGAGCGUCGGUCUCCAAAACCGAAGGUUGCGGGUUCGAUUCCUGCCACCCCUG